UGGGGAAUAUUGCACAAUGGGCGCAAGCCUGAUGCAGCCAUGCCGCGUGUAUGAAGAAGGCCUUCGGGUUGUAAAGUACUUUCAGUCGGGAGGAAGGUGGUAAGGUUAAUAACCUUGGCAAUUGACGUUACCGACAGAAGAAGCACCGGCUAACUCCGUGCCAGCAGCCGCGGUAAUACGGAGGGUGCAAGCGUUAAUCGGAAUUACUGGGCGUAAAGCGCACGCAGGCGGUUGAUUGAGUCAGAUGUGAAAUCCCCGGGCUCAACCUGGGAACUGCAUCUGAUACUGGCAAGCUUGAGUCUCGUAGAGGGGGGUAGAAUUCCAGGUGUAGCGGUGAAAUGCGUAGAGAUCUGGAGGAAUACCGGUGGCGAAGGCGGCCCCCUGGACGAAGACUGACGCUCAGGUGCGAAAGCGUGGGGAGCAAACAGG
rnacentral:rRNA from 1 species